rnacentral:rRNA from 1 species
AGCACCGGCUAACUCCGUGCCAGCAGCCGCGGUAAUACGGAGGGUGCGAGCGUUAAUCGGAAUUACUGGGCGUAAAGGGUGCGUAGGUGGUUGAUUAAGUUAUCUGUGAAAUUCCUGGGCUUAACCUGGGACGGUCAGAUAAUACUGGUUGACUCGAGUAUGGGAGAGGGUAGUGGAAUUUCCGGUGUAGCGGUGAAAUGCGUAGAGAUCGGAAGGAACACCAGUGGCGAAGGCGGCUACCUGGCCUAAUACUGACACUGAGGCACGAAAGCGUGGGGAGCAAACAGGAUUAGAUACCCUGGUAGUCCACGCUGUAAACGAUGUCAACU